rnacentral:rRNA from 1 species
GGGGGGGAGGACAGACUCGUAUUGUAGCCUCCACUCACCAAAACAAGGAGCUUGCUCCUUUGACGUUAGCGGCGGAGGGGUGAGUAACACGUGGGUAACCUACCUAUAAGACUGGGAUAACUUCGGGAAACCGGAGCUAAUACCGGAUAAUAUUUCGAACCGCAUGGUUCGAUAGUGAAAGAUGGUUUUGCUAUCACUUAUAGAUGGACCCGCGCCGUAUUAGCUAGUUGGUAAGGUAACGGCUUACCAAGGCGACGAUACGUAGCCGACCUGAGAGGGUGAUCGGCCACACUGGAACUGAGACACGGUCCAGACUCCUACGGGAGGCAGCAGUAGGGAAUCUUCCGCAAUGGGCGAAAGCCUGACGGAGCAACGCCGCGUGAGUGAUGAAGGUCUUCGGAUCGUAAAACUCUGUUAUUAGGGAAGAACAUACGUGUAAGUAACUAUGCACGUCUUGACGGUACCUAAUCAGAAAGCCACGGCUAACUACGUGCCAGCAGCCGCGGUAAUACGUAGGUGGCAAGCGUUAUCCGGAAUUAUUGGGCGUAAAGCGCGCGUAGGCGGUUUUUUAAGUCUGAUGUGAAAGCCCACGGCUCAACCGUGGAGGGUCAUUGGAAACUGUAAAACUUGAGUGCAGAAGAGGAAAGUGGAAUUCCAUGUGUAGCGGUGAAAUGCGCAGAGAUAUGGAGGAACACCAGUGGCGAAGGCGACUUUCUGGUCUGUAACUGACGCUGAUGUGCGAAAGCGUGGGGAUCAAACAGGAUUAGAUACCCUGGGUAGUCCACGCCGUAAACGAUGAGUGCUAAG